rnacentral:lncRNA from 1 species
AGCCCUAGCCUCCUGUAGCUUAGGAACAGUGCAAAACAGUGGCCUUUAGUUCCCUUUCAAUUCCCUUUCAAGCGAUUUUAUUCGAUUACACAUCUCUGCAUCUGAACCAAAUUUCAACUUUUUUACUUCUUUAAUGUCAAUCUCUCCUUCUCUGAUGUCAAUCUCUCCUUCUCUUCCUGGUUUUGUAUCUUCUCAUCUACAGUUAUUGACCACCACGUUCUCUGUUUCCUUUCCUUGGCACAUGAUCCGUCCUCUCUCAGAUUACACAUGAACGCAUCUCUUCGUCCAUCGCCUCCUUGAGAAAUUUGUCGCCGAGCCGAACCAGUUUUGAGAGAUUUCAAGGGAAGAAAUCUACCAUCGGGAAGAAAUUCUAAGCACCCGUUCAAUCAACUUCUAGCCUGUGCGUUUCUGUUUUCGUCCAUGAGUUGAGUCGUGAAAACCUAGCCGUUAGACUCCACUUGCGGCUGCUCCAUGCAUGGAAGCUUGGUGACCCAUCAAAAGCUGAUGGCUUUUUUGGCUUGGCACCCAUUGGAUUGAUGCCCAGGUAUGCUUUAGUUCCCUCACACCUUCACUUGCAAAUUUCAUGGUGUUUUGGUUUGGUUCUGUGCUCAUAUUUCUAUUUCACCCUGCUAUACCUUGAAUGCUAGUUUAAUUUAGCCAAUAUUUGUAUGGUUGCAGGUUGUAUACAUUAACCUGCAUUUGCUUUGUUAUUCAGUCAUCAUUUUCACCAAAGUUUCAAUUUAAUGCAUACCUGGAAAAAAUGCUUGGCAAUGUGAAGAUAUGCUAGAUAUAUGAGUGAGAGAAUGGCUUUGUUUGAAUUAAGGGAUUUUGAUCAAAGCCAUGAUGUAAGAUUUUGGUUUCACGGUUUGAUUAUUUGUGUUGUUGAUUGCUGAAAUUGCAUGAAAUUGCAUGAAAUUAUGUUUUCAGGGGAUGUUUUAUUGACCUUUAAUGAUGCUUCUACUGGAUUUCAUCAUCUAACCAUUUCUCUGCUUGCCUGCUUGCUAUUUAGUUUUUUAUAGUCUUUCUAUAUUGUAAUCUUUUAUGUAUUUGUUUAUCAUUUCUCUUGGUAUUGUUUCCUUCUUCAAAUUCCCGCUACAGCCUACACAAACUGCUCACGAACCAAUUACGCAAAAUGCAGAUAGGUGGGAUUUUGUUUCUCCCCUUCAUAUGCUAUGUUCGGUUUUUCAUUGGUGUACAGACUUGCGUUGUUAUGUGCAAGACUGGAUGCUAAUUCUUCUUUCAAUUUUAUUUCAACAAGCUCAACUAAACAACCCAAGAAAAUGCAGCAUGUUUUCCCUUCACUUUCUCAGGAUGACCAUCCCCUCUCGAACAUAUUCCUCAACAGACACACAACCAUCCCGUCAGCUGAUACUUCUGCUGCAUUUCUUGGUCUCCGCCAAGCAAGGUUCGUUUCCCUCUUCUUUAUUUAAGGACGUUUAUUGUCCAACACUCACUCCCUCUCCCAACCUUAACCUUUCCUUUUAAUAAGUUAAAUGUAGCAUAGGUUAGAUUCAGAUAGACAUCACAUUCUCAACGCUUUGUAUGCAGGUCUCCUAUAUACUGCAAUGUUUUCCUCCACCGCCUCAGAACCGUGUUCUGAAACAUGCACGUGCCGUCUUCCAGCCUGGUGCUGAUUAUAUUGCACAAUCAAAUGCUGCUACAGAGUGAUCACCUUCAUGCUUUCUGAUAAUGAAAUUCCAACUAUGUCGUUUCUUUUCUCCUUGACCAUUCCUGCUAAUGUUUUAUGCUUUUUUCUACUUCCUGAUAAUGAAUUGCAUGUCCCCCUGUGUUUCAACCUAAUUCAUCAUCAGUGGUUGUUUCUUGCUUCUUUAUCACAUAUUUCAUUCCAUUGCAGCAUACAUUCUUUUCCCAUUAAUUGAUGCCUGAGAUGAACUCUCCAUGUAGCAAAUGUCAAGCUUUAAAAACUGGGAACAUUGUCUGUUGCCAUUCCCAAGAAUCUAAGGACAGUAGGCAUGCCAAGGUUUCCAACAUUUUCCAUAGCAGUCCCUAUUCAUGCCACCUUCUACGGGUGCGCAUAAUGUAAUCCUGAUCAAUUUUGAGUUUCACGGCAUCGCGCGGUCAUACAAACUAGUAACAUUGAAAGCAUGAUUUGAAGUGUCAGUGGCUAACAGUGAUUGGAUGAUGAAGCUUACAUUUUUAACAUUCAUCUUUGAAGGUUUGCCUCCGUUCCUAAAAUUUGUAUUAUAUAAAAAGAGGCUUUUGUGUGAACAUCGAUUAUCUACGAGUCUUACUUUGUGUUUGUUUGUCAUGCUGCUAGGGUUUAUCUUUGUUUUGUAGAUUCUUUUGAUCCCCAAUGAUUUUCUUCUAUUGAGGUCUUUUGAUGAGCUUCCAAAUUUGGUAUUUUCGG